rnacentral:rRNA from 1 species
GGAUCAGUUCGCUGGUCGUGCCUCUGGUAUGUACUGGUGUUACUGGUUCCUCCCUUCUGACGAACUGUCAUGUCAUUAAUUUGGUGUGGCGGGGAAUCAGGACUGUUACUUUGAAAAAAUUAGAGUGUUUAAAGCAGGCUAUCGCUUGAAUAGAUUAGCAUGGAAUAAUAGAAUAGGACGCGUGGUUCUAUUUUGUUGGUUUCUAGGAUCACCGUA